CAAGAAUUGGUGGCCAAAAUUAAACCCCUCUUCCACAACAAGAGGAGAGCACAGUGAUAACCUCAACUGCUCAACAACACAACUAAAACUUGGGCUUAGCCCAAUGUAACACUGAGGUUGGGCUAGACCUUGUAAAAUUCUGAGCCUAUGCCUUCCGAAGAUCUCAGUCUCUCAAGCUCUCGGUCUCCUCGAAGAAGAAGAACACUCAAUCCUGCAUACUGUAAUCAACCAAGCAUUUGGUGAGCCAUAUUUCCUUACUCCGCAGGAUGACUGCUCUUUCGAGUCCCUUCCUUUCAUUCACACCUCCUCAAUCUCACCUCUUAUCAUCUGUGUUGUUGGUCUUGGGAACUGGGUUCUGAGCUAGCGAGCGUCAAGAAUCCUCAAUUUUGUUGAUUCUUUUCUCUUCUUUUUUAAUUUAUUUAUCUACCUGCCUCAAUCAGAUGAUACUGUAUAAGACUUAAGAUAAUUAAUUUAUAAGAGUUAGGAUAAUUAACUUCUGAAUGUUGCUAAUGUUAUGCUGGAGUCUGGAGAUUGCUGAGAGUACAAUUUUAUGGUCUUGUUUAGGAAUUUACUUUAUGAUUGAUUAUGACUUGUAUUGUUAUAGCCAUUCGUAUUCUGCUUAUAAAUGCUUUUACCACCUUAAUGUGAUUCUGCCUUUCUAAUUUUGCUAAAAUAUUCAAUGCUAGGUGGUUCUUUGAAGCCAAUUGACCAGAGUCUUUUAUCUAUUAGCCCCUCUAAAUCUUUCAGUAAAGCAAAGCUUACUGCCUAUAAAAGGUCCCUUACUGUUCAGGCAAGUGGCAAUCGGGGAAGACCAAAUAGUGCAGGUAUCUUCAUCGGUGGCUUCGUAUUGGGAGGAAUAGUAGUUGGAACAUUGGGAUGUGUCUAUGCUCCACAGAUCAGCAAGGCACUAACUGGAGCAGACAGAAAAGAUUUAAUGAGGAAGCUGCCAAAGUUUAUAUAUGAUGAGGAAAAGGCAUUGGAGAAGACUCGCAAAGUACUGUCUGAAAAGAUCCAACAAUUGAAUUCUGCAAUGGAUGAGGUUUCUGCUCAACUUCACACAGAUGACAGCUCAAAUGGAACUGCAGUGAAUUCAGAUGAGAUCCAGGCUUCUACGUGAGAAAAUACUUGUUGAGAUCUCAACACAAGUUAAUCAGCCCUAGAAUACAACGUCUAAAAAUUUUUCUUUUUUUAUUAUAAUUUGUUGUAAACCACAUAAGCGUGAAAAUUAUAAAAAAAUAAAAUAAACAUAUAAAAUAUUAAUAUUUACGUGGUUCUCCUAUCUACGUAGAGUUAUAUACAUGGACAUGCCAUCUUUCACUAUUUUCAAUAAAAAAUCAAUUAUCAAUUGCAAGAUCAAGACUAUAAUACCUAUUAACCUAAUUACUCCCAAAACUCUCAC
rnacentral:misc_RNA from 1 species